rnacentral:tRNA from 1 species
GGGCCUGUAGCUCAGCUUGGAUAGAGCACUUGCCUUCUAAGCAAGGGGUCCUGGGUUCAAAUCCCAGCAGGUCCG